rnacentral:rRNA from 1 species
CUCGGGGAUUGUACACACCGCCCGUCAAGUCACGAAAGCUGGCAACACCCGAAGUCAGUGGCCCGACCUUUUUGGAGGGAGCUGCCGAAGGUGGGGUUGGUAAUUGGGACU